GUGGGGAAUUUUGGACAAUGGGCGAAAGCCUGAUCCAGCCAUGCCGCGUGCAGGAUGAAGGCCUUCGGGUUGUAAACUGCUUUUGUACGGAACGAAAAGACUCCUUCUAAUAAAGGGGGUCCAUGACGGUACCGUAAGAAUAAGCACCGGCUAACUACGUGCCAGCAGCCGCGGUAAUACGUAGGGUGCAAGCGUUAAUCGGAAUUACUGGGCGUAAAGCGUGCGCAGGCGAUUAUAUAAGACAGAUGUGAAAUCCCCGGGCUCAACCUGGGAACUGCAUUUGUGACUGUAUAGCUAGAGUACGGUAGAGGGGGAUGGAAUUCCGCGUGUAGCAGUGAAAUGCGUAGAUAUGCGGAGGAACACCGAUGGCGAAGGCAAUCCCCUGGACCUGUACUGACGCUCAUGCACGAAAGCGUGGGGAGCAAACAGGAUUAGAAACCCGUGUAGUCC
rnacentral:rRNA from 1 species